GCGAUACCCGAAUGGGGAAACCCAGUGUGAUUCGUCACACUAUCAUUAACUGAAUCCAUAGGUUAAUGAGGCGAACCGGGGGAACUGAAACAUCUAAGUACCCCGAGGAAAAGAAAUCAACCGAGAUUCCCCCAGUAGCGGCGAGCGAACGGGGAGGAGCCCAGAGCCUGAAUCAGCAUGUGUGUUAGUGGAAGCGUCUGGAAAGGCGCGCGAUACAGGGUGACAGCCCCGUACACAAAAGCGCAUGUGCUGUGAGCUCGAUGAGUAGGGCGGGACACGUGGUAUCCUGUCUGAAUAUGGGGGGACCAUCCUCCAAGGCUAAAUACUCCUGACUGACCGAUAGUGAACCAGUACCGUGAGGGAAAGGCGAAAAGAACCCCGGCGAGGGGAGUGAAAAAGAACCUGAAACCGUGUACGUACAAGCAGUGGGAGCACCCUUUGGGUGUGACUGCGUACCUUUUGUAUAAUGGGUCAGCGACUUAUAUUCUGUAGCAAGGUUAACCGAAUAGGGGAGCCGGAGGGAAACCGAGUCUUAACCGGGCGUUAAGUUGCAGGGUAUAGACCCGAAACCCGGUGAUCUAGCCAUGGGCAGGUUGAAGGUUGGGUAACACUAACUGGAGGACCGAACCGACUAAUGUUGAAAAAUUAGCGGAUGACCUGUGGCUGGGGGUGAAAGGCCAAUCAAACCGGGAGAUAGCUGGUUCUCCCCGAAAGCUAUUUAGGUAGCGCCUCGUGAAUUCAUCUCCGGGGGUAGAGCACUGUUUCGGCUAGGGGGCCAUCCCGGCUUACCAACCCGAUGCAAACUGCGAAUACCGGAGAAUGUUAUCACGGGAGACACACGGCGGGUGCUAACGUCCGUCGUGAAGAGGGAAACAACCCAGACCGCCAGCUAAGGUCCCAAAGUCAUGGUUAAGUGGGAAACGAUGUGGGAAGGCCCAGACAGCCAGGAUGUUGGCUUAGAAGCAGCCAUCAUUUAAAGAAAGCGUAAUAGCUCACUGGUCGAGUCGGCCUGCGCGGAAGAUGUAACGGGGCUAAACCAUGCACCGAAGCUGCGGCAGCGACACUGUGUGUUGUUGGGUAGGGGAGCGUUCUGUAAGCCUGUGAAGGUGUGUCGUGAGGCAUGCUGGAGGUAUCAGAAGUGCGAAUGCUGACAUAAGUAACGAUAAAGCGGGUGAAAAGCCCGCUCGCCGGAAGACCAAGGGUUCCUGUCCAACGUUAAUCGGGGCAGGGUGAGUCGACCCCUAAGGCGAGGCCGAAAGGCGUAGUCGAUGGGAAACGGGUUAAUAUUCCCGUACUUGGUGUUACUGCGAAGGGGGGACGGAGAAGGCUAUGUUGGCCGGGCGACGGUUGUCCCGGUUUAAGCGUGUAGGUGUGUGUUCCAGGUAAAUCCGGUUCACUUUAACACUGAGGCGUGACGACGAGGCACUACGGUGCUGAAGCAACAAAUGCCCUGCUUCCAGGAAAAGCCUCUAAGCAUCAGGUAACAUCAAAUCGUACCCCAAACCGACACAGGUGGUCAGGUAGAGAAUACCAAGGCGCUUGAGAGAACUCGGGUGAAGGAACUAGGCAAAAUGGUGCCGUAACUUCGGGAGAAGGCACGCUGACACGUAGGUGAAGUGAUUUACUCAUGGAGCUGAAGUCAGUCGAAGAUACCAGCUGGCUGCAACUGUUUAUUAAAAACACAGCACUGUGCAAACACGAAAGUGGACGUAUACGGUGUGACGCCUGCCCGGUGCCGGAAGGUUAAUUGAUGGGGUCAGCGCAAGCGAAGCUCCUGAUCGAAGCCCCGGUAAACGGCGGCCGUAACUAUAACGGUCCUAAGGUAGCGAAAUUCCUUGUCGGGUAAGUUCCGACCUGCACGAAUGGCGUAAUGAUGGCCAGGCUGUCUCCACCCGAGACUCAGUGAAAUUGAACUCGCUGUGAAGAUGCAGUGUACCCGCGGCAAGACGGAAAGACCCCGUGAACCUUUACUAUAGCUUGACACUGAACAUUGAGCCUUGAUGUGUAGGAUAGGUGGGAGGCUUUGAAGUGUGGACGCCAGUCUGCAUGGAGCCGACCUUGAAAUACCACCCUUUAAUGUUUGAUGUUCUAACGUGGACCCGUUACCCGGGUUGCGGACAGUGUCUGGUGGGUAGUUUGACUGGGGCGGUCUCCUCCUAAAGAGUAACGGAGGAGCACGAAGGUUGGCUAAUCCUGGUCGGACAUCAGGAGGUUAGUGCAAUGGCAUAAGCCAGCUUGACUGCGAGCGUGACGGCGCGAGCAGGUGCGAAAGCAGGUCAUAGUGAUCCGGUGGUUCUGAAUGGAAGGGCCAUCGCUCAACGGAUAAAAGGUACUCCGGGGAUAACAGGCUGAUACCGCCCAAGAGUUCAUAUCGACGGCGGUGUUUGGCACCUCGAUGUCGGCUCAUCACAUCCUGGGGCUGAAGUAGGUCCCAAGGGUAUGGCUGUUCGCCAUUUAAAGUGGUACGCGAGCUGGGUUUAGAACGUCGUGAGACAGUUCGGUCCCUAUCUGCCGUGGGCGCUGGAGAACUGAGGGGGGCUGCUCCUAGUACGAGAGGACCGGAGUGGACGCAUCACUGGUGUUCGGGUUGUCAUGCCAAUGGCACUGCCCGGUAGCUAAAUGCGGAAGAGAUAAGUGCUGAAAGCAUCUAAGCACGAAACUUGCCCCGAGAUGAGUUCUCCCUGAGACUUAG
rnacentral:rRNA from 1 species